GCCGGGCGCAGUGGCAUGUGCCUGUAGUCCCAGCUACUAGGGAGGCUGAGGCUGGAGGAUCGCUUGAGCCCAGGAGUUCUGGGCUGUAGUGCGCUAUGCCGAUUGGGUGUCCUCAGCAUCAAUAUGGUGACCUCCCGGGAGCAGAGGACCACCAGGUUGCCUAAGGAGGGGUGAACCGGCCCAGGUCGGAAAUGGAGCAGGUCAAAACUCCUGGGCUGAUCAGCAGUGGGAUUGCACCUGUGAAUAGUCACUGCACUCCAGCCUGGGCAACAUAGCAAGACCCCAUCUCUA
rnacentral:SRP_RNA from 13 species